AGCGAACGCUGGCGGCAGGCCUAACACAUGCAAGUCGAACGAACUGUUCGGAGUUAGUGGCGGACGGGUGAGUAACACGUGGGAACGUGCCUUUUGGUUCGGAAUAACUCAGGGAAACUUGUGCUAAUACCGAAUGUGCCCUUCGGGGGAAAGAUUUAUCGCCAUUAGAGCGGCCCGCGUCUGAUUAGCUAGUUGGUGAGGUAACGGCUCACCAAGGCGACGAUCAGUAGCUGGUCUGAGAGGAUGACCAGCCACACUGGGACUGAGACACGGCCCAGACUCGUACGGGAGGCAGCAGUGGGGAAUCUUGCGCAAUGGGCGAAAGCCUGACGCAGCCAUGCCGCGUGAAUGAUGAAGGUCUUAGGAUUGUAAAAUUCUUUCACCGGGGACGAUAAUGACGGUACCCGGAGAAGAAGCCCCGGCUAACUUCGUG
rnacentral:rRNA from 1 species